UAUGAACUGAAUGUGAAGAUAUAUCUUUUGUUUUUUACAGGUUUUUUUCUUUAAGAAAAGACCACUACCCUCCACUGCUCUAGGCCAAAUUAACUGGCAGUGUUUCUUCAGGUGCAUGAAGAAGAUGCUGUUACAGCAUGAGGAGAAGAAAUAAGAGGCAGCAGGACACAGUGUGUAGAGUUUGGGGUUUUGCAGGGCUGUUGUCCCUGCUCUGUGUCCUCCCCCCAGAAUGGACAAGUGCAAAUAAUUACUUAUGCAUUCCUGACAAAAGAGGCCCAUGAAUUUUUCUCCCCACGUAGCAAGGCCAUUGACCCAUCAGCUUGGACCAGCUCUUUGUCAUUUCACCUCCAGCAUUAACAAAGUUUCUACAAAUAAAGAAAUUGAAACCAAAACGAAACAGAAAAACAAAGGACUGCACUAACCUACCUUGGAAAACAAAGAAUAGUUGAUGGACAAGGACAAGCCACCAGUGGCAUGAUUUUCCUCUGCUCCCAAAAAAAGAUUUCGGAUGCUGAUCUCCAGAGACUUUGUUUGCACUGGAGGAAAAGAAAACCUCUAUAUUCUAUGAAAAUACACCUGGAAACCUAAAGGAAAACAGCUCCUGUGCUCCAAGGCUGCGCUGUGAUGCCCAUCAAGCAUUUGCUAAUCUCUUCCAAGUUUAUCAAACCUGGGGACCGUGAGCAAGCCCUGCCCAACAGCCUUGGCCAUGAGUUACUGGGGCCUCUCCCAGGACACAUGCCCCACUGCUGCACAGGAGCCCAGCUCGGGAAUCCAUUGUCCUGGUUUCUAUGUUUUGAAGAGAAGGAAGAGGGUACAGUGGCUUCAUGUAGAAGGCAAACAUUGUCUGACACUGUAUGUGGGCAGUGAGGUGUGAGGAGAAAAGCCACAGAGCUCAGAGGCAGAAGGGGCUUCCAGAACCACUGAGCCAUUUUUAUUCCUGCCCCAUGACAGCUAAACAGUAGUCUGAAGCUACUGUUCUUCGUGUCUGACAGGGGCCAGGUGCCACUUCUGCAUUGCACUGACCCAUAGCACAGCUCUGCUCCCCAGCCACAGCCACAGGGCACACAUCCCUCCUCAGGAAGUUAUGCCCUUGGAAGGAUCUUUGCCCUACUGCAUCCACCAGGCAGGGAUGCUGUACAUCAUUAGGCAAAUGUUAUUUCUUAGAAAGCAAGGGCUGGAUUAUAAAUUUACUGACAUGCUGCUGCAGGAUUAAGGCAUCUGGUUUUGUACUGAAAUUGCUGUCGGUGUUUGUUUUCAAUUGUUUGUUUGUGUUUUUGUGGGGUUUUUCCAUUUGGUUUGGUUUUUUUUUAAUCAUCCUAUUCAGGAACUAGUGUUAGUAGUAUAAGUACAGUGUAUUACUGGCUUCCUGACUCCAUUGUUCACUUUCUUUCCUUCAGAAUAAAUAAACUGCAAAUACACUGAAAAGCCCUAAAGGAAAAGAGAAGAAAACCAAGCGUACCACCAAACCUAAAACUAAAACUAACUCCCCUUUGCAAAACAAGGUGGUUUCUGGGAAUGAGAGGCGCUGAAAAACUUAAUGGGACAUAGCUUCUGGCAUUGAUUUGGUACAGCUUGCUCCCAGCUCUUCAGCAGAUGAUAGUACCAGGGAAUUAGUACAGAGCUGGGGGUGCAAUCUAGCUUUGUUAUUCCUAAACCACUCAGCUUAAUCCCUUCUUAGAGAGAACAUAUGCAUUGAAUAAAAGUUUAUUGGUUUAAAGCUGACCAAUCUAUUGAAGUUUUU